rnacentral:rRNA from 1 species
GUGACGUCAAGUCAGCAUGGCCUUUAUAUCCUGGGCUACACACACGCUACAAUGGCCAACACAAUAGGUUGCUAAGCCGCGAGGUGGAGCCAAUCCAUAAAGUUGGUCUCAGUUCAGAUUGUAGGCUGCAACCCGCCUGCAUGAAGAUGGAGUUGCUAGUAACCGCAGGUCAGCUAUACUGCGGUGAAUACGUUCCCGGGGCUU